rnacentral:rRNA from 1 species
AUGUCGAACGAGGCACUUGUGCCUAGUGGCAAAUGGGUGAGUAACACGUACCUAAUCUGCCCUUUAGAUUGGGAUAACUAUCGGAAACGAUAGCUAAUACCAAAUAUUCUUAUUUACACAAGUAAAUGUAGUAAAAGGAGCUUUUGCUCCACUAAAGGAUGAGGGUGCGGCAUAUUAGCUAGUUGGUAGGGUAAAAGCCUACCAAGGCGAUGAUAUGUAGCGGGGUCGAGAGGCUGAACCGCCACACUGGGACUGAGAUACGGCCCAGACUCCUACGGGAGGCAGCAGUAGGGAAUAUUUCACAAUGAGCGAAAGCUUGAUGAAGCGACACAUCGUGCAGGAAGAAGGCCUUCGGGUUGUAAACUGCUGUUGUAAGGGAAGAACAGCACUAGUAGGAAGUGAUUAGUGUCUGACGGUACCUUAUCAGAAAGCACCGGCAAACUAUGUGCCAGCAGCCGCGGUAAUACAUAGGGUGCAAGCGUUAUCCGGAAUUAUUGGGCGUAAAGCGUCUGUAGGUGGUUAAUAAAGUCUAAUGUUAA